rnacentral:lncRNA from 1 species
AUGGCCCCGACGAUAAUGCAGUCGGACAACUACCUAUCAGCGAUGCCGCCUCUUUCGGCACUGUCGCCUCUCUCGGGGGCCGACUACUGCGGAGGCGGCGGCGUGGGCGGAGGGAGCGCUCUCUUCAAAUCCAUGAAGUACGCGGAGACGUGGCUCAACUUGACCGUGGCCGAGCGGGGGACGCCCGGGCACCGGCCGCGGCCCAAACUCCUCAUCAACGACCGGCCCCCGCCCCCCUUCUUCUUGCCCGCCAACCUCUGCACCUGCCCGGACUCGGGCCGCAACACCAGGAGCAAGAAGGCCACGUGCUCCAAGUGCAAGGGCCAGCGCAUCAAGUUCCAGCCGGAACCCGCCAAAAAGACCCGCUCCGCCGACCAGUUCUACUCCGUCCGGAUACCCAAGCAAGCCCCCAGUCGGAACCCCAUCUUCCGCUACGACGUCGACUUCUUCGAGGAUCCCUACUCGGUCAUGCGCCGGUGUCGCUUGCAGUCCCCGCCCAACGAGAAGCCCCUCGAAAAGUCGAAGAAGUCCAGGGCCAAGAGCAGUAGUCCUCCGAGCCGCCGGAAACGGAAAGAAGAGGAGACGCUCAUCAAGGGGAACCGGUGCCCGUCUCCGGACGAGAUUUCAAACCGCUUUGAGGACUACGUCAAACAGAAGGAGAAGGAAAACCAGAUCCUCAAUGGAGGUGGCCGGAGGUCGAUCUUAGAUUGUAGUGUCAACGCCUACGAGCUCAUAAGACUGAAAAACGACAAAGGCAACGAUCCGAGUCGAAAUAGGCCCGCUUCCAAGUUCAACACCCUCACCUCGACUUUGAACAAGAACAAACUCAUCAAUAGCAUUCUCAACCGCAAACCUCCAAGCGACGAAGCGAAGAAAUCUAGUCCUUUAGGCGUUAAAAUUGCCGGCCAAAGAAUCAACGUCUUCGACGAGAGCAAGCCGAGGAUCGACCCCGUCCACGAUCGGAUCGACGAGUUCGUCUACGAGUCGGACCACACGACCGAUUCGUACGAGACGGUUUGUUUCAACGGGUACCACGGCCCCGUUAAGAAUGGGUACCAUUCGAGCCAAGAGAGGCUGUCGCCCGUGAGGAACGGGUAUUCGACCAAUCAGGACAUCCCCGUUAAAAAUGGGUACUCCAGUAGUCAAGAGGCAAUCUCAUCCUCCAGGAACGGAUAUCACGACCAAGGAUUGGAAUCGUUCGGUCAUAGGAAUAGUCGGAAGGUUUCCCCCGGUAGAGGAAGACAUCGAGACAGUCAGGACGCAGCCUCGCCCAUGAAGAGUGAGUACCAAAAUAGUCAUGAACUCGAAAGGGAUCGGUACCCAAGUCAGGAUAGACUGUCUCCCGUACGUCCUCCAAGGAGGACCAAAGGUCAGGGUGACGAAAACGAGAGUCCAACGACGGAAAUGGCACCUCCGCCUCCUCCUGCUCUACCUGAAGUCCAGCAGGAAACCCUGAUCGUCCCGAAGAAUCGCGUCAAUUUCGAUCUGAAACAUGAUAGUUUCAGCAAUAAGAACAACACUCUAACAUCAUCUACUUCCUUAGAAAUCAAGUCGAUACUGAAGAAACCGCCCAAUUUCAACAAUCUCUUCAAUUUCAAUAGCAUCCUCGCCGAAGAUUCAUCCCACUCUCACGAGAGGGAACCCAGACAAGAACAAGAGAGGCACGAGAACCCGCCGCCGUCGGCCUACCAGUCAACGGUGAUUGUUCUAGAUGGCUCUGCCGCUCAGGCUGAUGCCAAAUCUACUAAUCUGAACAAGAAGAAGAAGCAAGUGCAGUUCAGGGAGAACAAGGUCGAGGUCAUACCCAGGAGUCCGGAAAAGCCGGACGAUAAGACGAAGUUCAACGCGUCGAUUGAACAGCCCGCGAGUUCGAGGCCCGACGAAUCUGUGACAAGGCAGCGAACGGAAAGUGAUCGAACGCCCGAUGAUGAUCUUAAAGGUCACUUUUCUGCACCCGCUGCUCGAUCCACCAUCGAAGUCGAUUCGACCACCCGAAGCACGGAUGGCAUCAACAUCUCUCCAACGGGUGAGUUUCUAUCGUAUUCUUUCCUCUUUUUAAUUGUAAUAGGUUUUAGAGCGCGCUGG